rnacentral:rRNA from 1 species
CCUACGGGAGGCAGCAGUGAGGAAUAUUGGUCAAUGGACGAGAGUCUGAACCAGCCAAGUCGCGUGAAGGAUGACUGCCCUAUGGGUUGUAAACUUCUUUUAUAUGGGAAUAAAAUGUUCCACGUGUGGGUUUUUGUAUGUACCAUAUGAAUAAGGAUCGGCUAACUCCGUGCCAGCAGCCGCGGUAAUACGGAGGAUCGGGGCGUUAUCCGGAUUUAUUGGGUUUAAAGGGCGCGUAGGGGGAUUGUUAAGUACGUUGUGAAAGUUUGCGGGUCAACCGUAACAUUGCAGUUGAAACUGGCAGUCUUGAGUACAGUAGAGGUGGGCGGAAUGCGUGGUGUAGCGGUGAAAUGCUUAGAUAUCACGAAGAACUCCGAUUGCGAAGGCAGCUCACUGGACUGCAACUGACACUGAGGCUCGAAAGCGUGGGUAUCAAACAGGAUUAGAUACCCUAGUAGUC